rnacentral:misc_RNA from 1 species
CCGAGUUUACAACUCCCAAACCCCUGUGAACAUACCACUUGUUGCCUCGGCGGAUCAGCCCGCUCCCGGUAAAAACGGGACGGCCCGCCAGAGGACCCCUAAACUCUGUUUCUAUAUGUAAACUUCUGAGUAAAACCAUAAAUAAAUCA